rnacentral:rRNA from 1 species
UACAGAGGUCUCAAGCGUUGUUCGGAUUCAUUGGGCGUAAAGGGCGCGUAGGCGGGCUGUCAAGUCUGGGGUGAAAUCCCGCGGCUCAACCCGUGGAACUGCCUCAGAUACUGACGGUCUCGAGGGAGGUAGGGGCGAGCGGAACUGAUGGUGGAGCGGUGAAAUGCGUUGAUAUCAUCAGGAACUCCGGUGGCGAAGGCGGCUCGCUGGACCUCUUCUGACGCUGAGGCGCGAAAGCCAGGGGAGCAAACGGG